UUUCUCAUUUGUUCUUUGCGGAUGAUUUAGUGAUCUUCUGUAAAGCUCAUAUUGACCAAGCUCGAUUACUGGAUAACAUUCUAAAACUUUUUUGUGAUAUUUCAGGACACCGAAUCAGUGUUAGGAAAAGUAACAUUUUCUUUUCCAAGAAUACUGAAACUGAUGUUCGCAAUCAAAUUAACCAACUUUUUGGGUUCCAAGAAGUCCGAAACCUUGGUACAUAUCUAGGUGUCCCUCUUUUACAUGACAGGAUCACCAAAAGUACCCUGAGCUUUAUAGUGGACAAAGUGAGGAAGAAACUGCAGAAUUGGGAUGCUAGGAAGUUGUCUAUUGCAGGGAGAAUUACGAUGGCGCAAUCGGUACUUCUCUCCAUUCCUAAUUACUUCAUGCAAUCCUUGAUGAUUCCGAAAGGUGUCAGUGCAGACAUUGAAAGGUUGGUCAGAAAGUUUAUUUGGGGUAGUUCUGAUGGGCAUCCUAAAUUAUCUCUAGUGGGUUGGAAUUCUAUCUGUCAACCGAAGUCUCGGGGAGGUCUUGGAUUCAGACAUCUGGAAGAUCAAAAUUCAUCUUUCCUUUUGAAGAUUGGAUUUAAUCUAGUGUCUAAAAGUAAUGCACUUUGGGUUCGUGUCCUUCGUGCCAAAUAUGGUUGGAAAGAUAAUUUCCCAGAUUCUAUUAAUAAAAGUCAAUGCUCUCAUUUAUGGAAGGCUCUCUCUAAGACAUGGCCGUUGCUUCGAGAAAAUCUUGCAUGGUCUAUUGGAGAUGGUGCUAGUGCUCGUUGUUGGAAAGAUCCUUGGAUUCCAGGUAUGGGCCUUUUAAUCUCUUCAAUUCCUUCUUAUGCUAACCUUAAUUUGGAUUGUUGUGUUAGGGAAAUGGUCAAUUCUGAUGGUUGCUGGAACUUGGAUCUAUUUCGUGUCUGGGUGUCUGAAGAUACUAUUAAUAGAAUCAUUAGCAUUCCUCCUCCUCACCCUGACUCUGGACCAGAUAGGAUUAUUUGGACCAAGUCAGCUUCUGGAGUCUUCUCAGUUCGCAGUGCCUAUUGGCAUUUGAAAGAGAACUCUUGGAAUUCCCAGGAGGAUUAUUGGAAGAUUGUUUGGAAAUAUCCAGGUCCUCAAAGAGUAAGAGUUUUCCUUUGGCUUGUUUUCAAACAAAAACUUCUUACAAAUUCGGAACGAGUUAGAAGGGGAUUCAGUCAUUGUAGUUCCUGUUCUAUAUGUGGCCACGAAUUUGAGGAUUUGGUUCAUGUUCUUCGGGAUUGUCCCUCUGCGAAAGAAGUGUGGCGACUUGUGAUUCCAAAUAAGUUAAAACAAAGGUUUUUCUCUGUCUCUCUUCAGGAUUGGCUUAUUCUUAACCUUUGUUUUCAUGAAAGAUUGCAGGAUUAUGGUCUCGUGUGGUCUUGCCUGUUUGGACUAGUUGUUUGGCGUUUAUGGAAGAACAGGAGUUUAUUUAUCUUCCAACAUAUUUCAUGGACGGCAUCGGAAGUGGUGAAAGUUUCUAGCUGUUGGGGCCGUAAUUACAUCUCUCAUGUUGGAGAUAUCAUUAACAACAAGCAGAAAUAUCCCUUGAUAGUCAACCUUGAUGAUACUUGGGUGUUUUUAUCCACUGAUGGAGCAGUGACCAGAGAUUCUGGUUAUGCUGCAACAGGAGGCGUGGCUCGUGAUCAGAAUGGAAAUUGGAUAGUGGGAUUUAACAGAUUCCUAGGCGUGUGUUCUCCAUUUGAAGCUGAAGUUUGGGCCAUUCUAGACGGUAUCCUUAUUUUACUUAAUAAGGGAUAUAAAAAAACUAUUAUCAUGACUGAUAAUCUUGAAGUUGCCCAAAUCUUGAAUGAUAUGGAUUCGGAAGAUUCAGGAAUCACUGUACUCCGAAGGACUCUUCGCAUCAUGCAAUCAGAAGGGGAGUGGAGGAUUAAGCAUAUAUCAAGAAAUCAAAACUUGGUAGCGGAUCGUCUUGCUAAACUCAGUUUGAGUUGGAAAUCAAGCUUACAAAUUAUGGAUGAGGCUCCUAGGGACAUUUUAGAUUUACUUCAAGAGGAUAAAAUUAAUGGUUGCUUUAUGUAAUUGAUGUUUCUUUUCACCAAAAAAAAAAAGAAGUUAAUUGUGGCCAAAUAUAUUUAUCUAUUUUUCAUGAUUUUUAGAAUCGGACUGAUGAUCAAAUCGAUCAAACCACCGAUUUUCAAUCCAACCGACUAACCUAAUGUUAAAAAAAUCAUGGUUUCGUUUAAAUUUAUAAAACUUGAUUUUGGCAUUUUGCAAGAGUUUUUUUUUUUUAAAUUCAGUUGGGUAUCAUUAUUAAACACAAUUAAUAUCAUCAUCAUGAAAGCAUCAAAAGGCACAAUCACAUUAAACAUCUCAUCUGCCCAUUCAUUUUCAUUAGGCCUUUCUUCUCUCCAUACCCAUUCAACAUCAUCUACAUAAUUUUUUCCCAAGCCUUUUUGCAAGAGUUAUAAGCAAAAAAAUGUUGGAAUAAACAUUAUUGUGUGUUGAGUAAUGUUGGAAUGAACAUUAUUGUGUGUUGAGUGUUGUGUUGGACCAUAGAUAAAUGAUGCCUCAAAGCAGAAAAGAGUUCAAAUAUGAAAGGUUUUGGGAAAAAGGAUGGCGAGUCUUAUAAAAUUAUUCGUGAGACAUGAUGUUGCGGUCAUGGAGAGAAGUCUCAAUUCCAUAGUAUUUAGAAGGACAUUGUUUCUUACGACCAAAAUUUGAAGUGGAACAUAAAUACUCGUAAUAUUAGAAGAAAAUUCAAUCUAACCAAUAUCAGUCAGAUAACUUGUACAGCUUCCUAUCGUAUAAAGAUCGUGAUGUCAAGAUUAAGAAGUUGGAAGUGAGCAUCAACCUUCUACUGGAAGAUAAAGGGAUCCUCUGAAAACAACGGUUCAGGGCUGGAUUCAAAAUGGGGAUCAUAAUAAAUCCUAUUUUCAUAGGAUGGCGUUGGGCAGGAAAAAAAAAUAAGUUUUUCAUUGAGAUAAUGAAGGAUGUUAGGUGUAACACCUUUUAUCUAUCCCAAUGAUCGGUAUGGAUAUAAGAUGUUAUAAUAACACAUGCAAAAAACAUUCACAACUUGCAAAUCUGAAAAGAUUAUUCUUUAGAACAAUUUAAAAAACACCACUAAAUUAAGUUUGAGACUAUUUAAAAGAUUUUGAAAAUAUUUUAAAAUAAUUUAAAAUCGAUGCGUACAUGAUUGAAGGUGUUUGAGAUCAAAUAUGAGCUUCGAAGAGCUCAAAACAACCAAAAUAGUGCAAUGAUGUCUAUCUAGGGGAAAGAUGUUGAUACUUUAGCCUGGAACUAUAACUUUUUAGCUACUGACUUGAAUGUUCUAAAACUUAAGUUUCUUGAAGCAAAAAAUUGCUCUCUGACUACCAUGUGUCGAUAUGUAAAAGCAAGGUUCUGAAACCUUGAUGUCGGGGAUGAAAAUUUAAGUUAAAAACAGUCUAAAGCCACUCCAACACACCUCGUACUCAAGUGAAUGCAUAGAAUACUUAAAAGAUCAUUUAGAGCCAUGAAAUUUCAUACUUGAAAUACAUCUUUGCUUGGGUUAUACUCACAUAACAUCAAGGCAACCCUUAGAAAUAAUUUAUAGCUUCCUAAAUACAUCCAAGUCAAGUCAAAGCCCAAUCCAAUCCAAAUAAAAACACAAAAUUAAUAUGUACAUAAAUCACUUAUGCUCAAGGCUAAUCUAACAAUGCCUCAAAAUAUGACCAAAAAUAAUAUCCAUUGUGAGCAGCUAGCUACUCUUUUCUUGUAUGCUUCAUUGAAUAGAAAUCAUUAAAUCGUUGACUCAUUUUGGGUUCGACCCCUUGGAAUACUUCGUGUUCCAUUGAAACUAUAAAUAUUACAACUAAAACUGCAUGCUUGCAGUUAAAACUGCUCUUUAAAAUAGUUUUUUUUUAAAUAAAAUUAGUUGCUUUUACGCUUAUGCACAAUAGCGGUCAGUUAAGCAGUAGAGUUCAAUUUUAUUUCCAUGAUUCAAAUCAUUAUAAUACAAAAUCCGAAUCAAUUGCUUAUAACUAAUUUCAAAUGCAAAUAUUAACUAAUUCACAUGUAAAUUGUGCAAAUAUUCAAAUAAUACAACAAUAUAUAUGUAAAAAAUACACUAGUGAUACCAAUUGAUUCAGCUAAGCAUAUUGUCUUAAUUAAUAACUAAAUGAACAUACUAUACCGAUUUGAUUUACAUUCACAUUUCUUUCACUUUUAUGCAUUCAAUAAAGUUUACAUAUCAUGUCCAAACUGAAAACAAUUCAAACAUUGUCUUUAAAUUAGCUUAAUUAACCUUUAAAUUAUGUUUUGUCGUAAUAUAGAUGUACGGGCCUAAAUUUGCCCGAUGCCCAUGACUCAACCAAAAACAAAAAUAAAUAAAAACCAAAUUUUCAAACCAAAAUAAACAGCCCAAUAAAAAACCCCAAACUCAAAUUUUAGCCCAAACCUUAAAACCACAAUCAGCCCAAUAACAAAUACAACCCAAACUAUCAAUCUAAUGCAAAAAAAUAUCAGCAGAACCCUAGGAACGUUCAGCCACUGCCCCGUGCCUUUUCGUCAUCAGUCGCCCUCCACGCGUCGUCUGACAUCUGAAACAAGCACAAUAGCAGAGAAAGAAGCAUGCGAGCGUAGAGAAAUAAAGAGCAAAAAACAAAAAAACUAAAAGGGUAACUAAUCAAAAAAACAGAAUACUCGUUUUAAAGGUGAUUUUUUUAUUUUGUGUGAAAAUUUCUGUCUCUUUAUCUUGUUUUUACUUUUGUUUCUCUUAGUUAUUUUAUUUUAUUUUAUUUCACUUACGAAAAUAAAAGGGAAAUAAAACUUACCGGAAAACCCCCAUGGUCGGUCGUCGGAGACUUCUUUCUCCAUCGGAGUUGAGCCCAAAAGGGGAGGUUGGGAAGUCCCUUUAUUUUCGGGCACUCGACCGAGGGAUUUGGGACCUUCAAAGGCACCACGAACAGAGGCUAGGUAGCCUAUUUCGCUUGUCGUCAGCCACUGAUUGUAAUGGUGGUGUGACAAACCACCGAGGGCGGCGAUGAGGGGUUCAGGACCCUAGCCGAGCUGAAGAGAAAAGGGGGUAGGGAGGCUGAGUUCUUUUAAAAAAUAAGCAGCAGAAAUCUGCCUACAAAAGGAAGAAACCCUUUUGUUUUCUUUAAAAGGUGAAACGACGCAGUGUAAAAGGGGGGGUCAUUUUCAAAGCCCGAAUGGGC
rnacentral:lncRNA from 1 species